rnacentral:rRNA from 1 species
ACUGAGUGGCGGACGGGUGAGUAACGCGUGGGUAACCUGCCUCAUACAGGGGGAUAACAGUUAGAAAUGACUGCUAAUACCGCAUAAGACCACAGUACCGCAUGGUACAGGGGUAAAAACUCCGGUGGUAUGAGAUGGACCCGCGUCUGAUUAGGUAGUUGGUGGGGUAACGGCCUACCAAGCCGACGAUCAGUAGCCGUCCUGAGAGGGUGACCGGCCACAUUGGGACUGAGACACGGCCCAA